rnacentral:rRNA from 1 species
GAUGAACGCUGGCGGCGUGCUUAACACAUGCAAGUCGAACGGUGAAGGCGGAGCUUGCUCUGCUGGAUCAGUGGCGAACGGGUGAGUAACACGUGAGCAAUCUGCCCCUGACUCUGGGAUAAGCGCUGGAAACGGCGUCUAAUACUGGAUACGAGCUGCGAAGGCAUCUUCAGCAGCUGGAAAGAAUUUCGGUCAGGGAUGAGCUCGCGGCCUAUCAGCUUGUUGGUGAGGUAAUGGCUCACCAAGGCGUCGACGGGUAGCCGGCCUGAGAGGGUGACCGACCACACUGGGACUGAGACACGGCCCAGACUCCUACGGGAGGCAACAGUGGGGAAUAUUGCACAAUGGGCGAAAGCCUGAUGCAGCAACGCCGCGUGAGGGACGACGGCCUUCGGGUUGUAAACCUCUUUUAGCAGGGAAGAAGCGAAAGUGACGGUACCUGCAGAAAAAGCGCCGGCUAACUACGU